GGAAGAACUGAGGGCAGGAGAGAAGGAGGGAAGGGAGGGGGAGAAAGACCCAUACAGUGGAGAGAGCAGAGUAGCAGCAAAGCUUUGAGGGCUGAAAAAGCAGAUGGACAAGUGUUAUUGACUGAGCAGGCUGGAGAAGGCGGACUGUUCAGUUGGCAGUGGGAGAGACCAAGAACCAGUCCUAUGAUUGCUACGGCUCCGAGAGUAGCAAGACCAGAUGCUCAGGAACCAGAGAAGGGCGUUAAGCGCUCAUGUAAGAAUUGGUUGCAAGCUGUUUAAGAAAGAACUAGAUUUCUAGAUCACCCCCUUCUCCUCACUGCUGCGCAUCUGCCCCUUCUCCGUUCAGGAGAAAACAAGAGGUUAAUUUUCUGGAGAGUAUAGAAUGGGAAGUGUCUGGGCUGAGGGAUGUCAGGCACAUUUGAGGGCAUGAGCCUAUGUGGAAAACAAGGAUUAAGUAAACAUCUGCAGCUGAAAGCUGAGACACCCCCGGGCCCCCUGCCCCCUGCUCACCCUCUUCUUCUACCGGGCUCUGUGGAUGCUGGCAGCAAGGCUUACUCUCCAAGUAGGGAUGGAAGAGUCUUCUCCGGGGAAUUAGAUGAGCUCAGGUGGAAAGCCCUAAGAUGCUGAUCUUACCAGUUCCACAACAAUUGGUUGAGACAGAUCCCUACUACAGUGAGACCCAAAGUCUACAAACCCCACCCACACACUCAGACCUUCCAAUCAGGUUUUUUGUUUCUCCUUCUUAAAUUUGAGUAGACAAUCAAAGAUCAACCGACAUCUGAGGAAAGCCUCCAACAUGAAGAUUGAGAACCACACAAAUGAAGAAACAACAACAAAAAAAUCAACUAUCUCUGAAGGAAACUUGGAGAAACCGAGAAUAUGCAUGGAGAAGAAGGGCACGGAACUGGGGUCUGCUUUUCUGAACGUUCCCAGGGCGCAUCCUGUGAUUCCAUGCUGCCUGCGACACGGCAGUUUCAUCUGGGGGUGUGCUGGUGAAUGUCUACAACCAAGAGACCUGCACAGCUCUCAGUUUACGGUUUGGAAAGUACCUCCUACGUGAAGACAUCUCCACAAGAAGGAGUCUUGCUUUUCUCUGAAGCCCCAUUGUAUUUUCUUUAAAAAAAUCCUUCUCACGGCCCUUUCAUUUUCAAUCUUGUGUCACAAUCGUUCUGUUACCCGGGCUUUGAUCCCACACUAUACGCCCCGCGUAACUUGCCCGUGGCGUAAAUAUUUGCUCGGUGAAAUAAUGAUCGCAUGAUAACACAAAUAAUACUUGUGAAAAAGUGCGUUCCGAUUCAGGGCUCUUAUUUUAUUUUCCC